UACAGAGGGUGCGAGCGUUAAUCGGAAUUACUGGGCGUAAAGCGCGCGUAGGCGGCUUUGCAAGUCGGGUGUGAAAUCCCCAGGCUUAACCUGGGAACUGCAUUCGAUACUGCCGUGCUUGAGGACUGGAGAGGAGACUGGAAUUUACGGUGUAGCGGUGAAAUGCGUAGAUAUCGUAAGGAAGACCAGUGGCGAAGGCGGGUCUCUGGACAGUUCCUGACGCUGAGGCACGAAGGUCAGGGGAGCAAACGGG
rnacentral:rRNA from 1 species